CUGGUACUGACAUUUCUCUGGUUCAGAACAAAGAAAACCUCUGAAUCCAACAUGAAAUUCACACAACACGCAAAGAGAGAGAGAGAGAGAGAGAGAGAGAGAGAGAGAGAGAGAGAAACUCUCUCUUUGAUCCGUUCCAAGCAGACGAUCUUUUAUCAUGAGAUUAAAUAACCUUGAAGUGAUAUAAAUUAAAACUGUAGAACUGAAAUUGUUUCCCACCCUCCUUUUGAGUCUGCGCGAUCUGGUGCGUCUUCUAUCAGGAUCCACGGAGACGGAUUGUGAGUUUACGCUGUGCCAAGGCUGCGUUUUGCUCCCACCAUCUCCGCCCAAUUACAACAGCAGGGCUGCGCAGAGCCCCCCCGCUGAUUGGACGCUCUGCUGAAAGAGAAGUUUGUGUGUUUAUAUGGUCGGUGCUCGGAGUUCCUGCUUUCAGGGCUUCAGAGAGAAAAUGGAAGGCAUUGGACAUGGACACACGGAGGUUUGAGUCUGGAGGAGACAGCCAGGUGCUGCUCCGCCAGAGCCAGAGAGAUCCUUCACAGCGUGAGGUCCCCAUGCCCACAAUCCCCCGCUGCGCGUGCUUGAAUCAGGAGUAGAGGCAGUCGAGGGAAGACAGAGACACCAGGACGGACAAACCGCGGUAGUGCAGAGUGCAGAGCAAAUGAAAAGCGAAGGAGAUGGAGGAGAAACGAUCAAAGCGCAGUCAUCUCCAAGGUCCUCGUUUACGAAGACUGGGAAAUAUGAGACUGAUGUGACCAAUGAAGCGCCGCUUCAGCGACGGAUGUUUUUUAAAAGUUUAGCCAUUGCUGUCAGUGAGCCUGGAUGUCACGUUUUUAGCCAUCUUACAGCGAGAUUCACAGAGCCUUCUUUGCAUCUUUUGUCUGUUAUAGAAAGUUUAUCGUCCGUUUAUCGGAAAGGACGGAAAACAACAAAUGGUUUCAAUUUAAAAAAGAUCUCAGUACUUUGAAUCCUAUAUCCUGUUUUGAAAAACAUUUAGGUGCAAUUACAGCUCCAAGUGUUUUGACGUUUAUCUACGAGCUUUCAGCAUCUGCAGACUAAAAUUUUGUCCCUUUCUUUUCUUGGAGAACAGCUCAGUGAGAUUUGAUACAGAGAUUUUUUUUUUUUUGGACAUCUUCACGUUUUACCACAACUGAAUUUUGAGCUCGAAUAUUCUAACCAAUAUGUUUCCAGUAUUUCACUAAUUUGGCUCUGAUAACCUUGACCAGCAUCCCAGUUCCUUAGUAAAGCCUUCCCACAGCAUGACACCGCACACACUCUGUUCAAGUACAAUUAUCACUGAUUAGAUUACUGUCACUUUAACAGAUUUUCCUACUUGAGCUUUGAAUCUCUCCUGCUCCUCCAGAGUUACCCUGGGCUUCAUUCUGUCUUGGUUACCGUUUGUUUCUGUUUUCAGAUUAUGGUUUAAAGCGUGCUCCGUUUGUUUUUUUCAAACUCUAGGACGCAGAUCCGUCACAUAAACGCACUCUAAGCUUCUCCCCAGCUUUAUUGGAGACAAAUCUGGGGGUUUUCUUGGCGUUGUUUACGAGCUAACGUUCACAAAGGAACCAUUAAAGCUCACUUUACAUGCUUAAACUGACAUGCACCUUUCAAGAAUGCAGUGCAGAGUUCACUUGUAAGGUUUGAGAUAAUUUUUUAUUAGCAAUCCUGACAAAAGUCUAGAAGAUGA